UACGAAGGGAGCUAGCGUUGUUCGGAAUCACUGGGCGUAAGGCGCACGUAGGCGGAUUUGCCAGUCAGGGGUGAAAUCCCGGGGCUCAACCUCGGAACUGCCUUUGAUACAGCAAGUCUUGAGUUCGAGAGAGGUGGGUGGAAUUCCUAGUGUAGAGGUGAAAUUCGUAGAUAUUAGGAAGAACACCGGUGGCGAAGGCGGCCCACUGGCUCGACACUGACGCUGAGGUGCGAAAGCGUGGGGAGCAAACAGG
rnacentral:rRNA from 1 species